rnacentral:snRNA from 1 species
GGAUGUGAAGGAGAUUUGGCUGCGAUAUCUGUCACCCCAUUGAUCACCAGGGUUGAUUAGGCUGAACUGGCUGGCUAGGCAGGUGUCCCCUUCCUCCCUCACCGCUCCAUGUGUGCCCCUCUAGAAACUAUGAGCUUGAUCAAAGAGGAUGGCCUUCCCCGAACAGAGAUGGACCGGUCUUCAGUCGAGGGUAUAGGAGUAGCUGUGCUCCCCUCCCUGCUAGAACCUCCAAACAAGCUCUCAAAUGGUGCUGGGGAAAGUUAAAAGCCACAUACAAGAGUGU